UCAGAAAAGUGACAAAGUUAAAAACUGGGCCAAUUUACAGUGAAUUUUAAGACUGUAUAAUGCAGCCUUUCAAAUCUAGAACUCUAAAAUGAAUCACUAGUUCAAUGUAUUAUUAUGUAAACUUAAUUUCCUCUUAAGCACAGCUUUGGAUCUUAUUUUCAAAGUGACUAAUAUAUAAGAAAGGUCAUGAAAGUUGUACAUGGACCUUGACUUCAGAGAUAAUGAGUGCCUCAUCUACUAAGUCGUGCUGUGAUCACAUUAGGCAAGUAUAACGUUCCAGUCAAGAAAAAGCUGAUGAUUGGGGAAGCCAGCUACCAUAUCGAACAGCUGUAUGAAGCCUGUGUGGUAAGGAACUGAGGCUCCUGAUAAGAGGCAGCAGGAACUGAGGCCCUUGCCAAAAGUCAUUGGAUUGAGCCAUCUUGGAAGCAGAUCUUCUAUCCCUAAUCAACACUUCAGAUGACUGCAGCCCUGGAGGCCAGAUUAACUGCAACCUCAAGAAAGUCCCUAAGCCAGGACCAGCCAGCCAAGCUACUCCUAUAUUCCUUGAC